rnacentral:rRNA from 1 species
GACGAACGCUGGCGGCGUGCUUAACACAUGCAAGUCGAACGGAAAGGCCCCUUGGGGGGUACUCGGGGGGCGACGGGGGGAGUAACACUGGAGUAACCGCCCCUUGACUUCGGGAUAACUUCAGGAAACUGGGGCUAUAACCGGAUAGGAAUCCUGGCGCAAUGGUGGGGGUUGGAAAGCUUCGGCGGUUUUGGAUGGACUCGCGGCUUAUCAGCUUGUUGGUGGGGUAGUGGCUUACCAAGGCUUUGACGGGUAGCCGGCCGGAGAGGGCGACCGGCCACAUUGGGACUGAGAUACGGCCCAGACUCCUACGGGAGGCAGCAGUGGGGAAUAUUGCACAAUGGGCGGAAGCCUGAUGCAGCAACGCCGCGUGCGGGAUGACGGCCUUCGGGUUGUAAACCGCUUUCAGCGGGGGCGAAGCUUGUGGUGACGGUACCUGCAGAAGAAGCACCGGCUAACUACGUG